rnacentral:tRNA from 1 species
GGUAAGAUGGCUCAGGGGUUAAGAGCACUGACUGCUGUUCCCGAGGUCCUGAGUUCAAGUCCCAGCAACCA